CGGGAUUGCCCCAGUAACGGCGAGUGAAGCGGCACCAGCUCAAAUUUGAAAUCCGAUCUCGCCCGGGGUCUGAGUUGUAAUUUGUAGAGGAUGCUUCGGGUGACGGUCCCGCCUAAGUCCCUUGGAACAGGGUGUCAUAGAGGGUGAGAAUCCCGUCUGUGGUGGGUGCCUGACCCCGUCAGAAGCUCCUUCGACGAGUCGAGUUGUUUGGGAAUGCAGCUCUAAACGGGUGGUAAAUUUCAUCUAAAGCUAAAUACCGGCCGGAGACCGAUAGCGCACAAGUAGAGUGAUCGAAAGAUGAAAAGCACUUUGGAAAGAGAGUCAAACAGUAUGUGAAAUUGUUGAAAGGGAAGCGCCUGCGACCAGACCUGUCUGCGGGUGAUCACCCGCUGUUAUCGGCGGGGUAUUCGCCUGUCAGCAGGCCAGCGUCGGUUUUGGCGGCCGGACAAAGUCCCCGGGAACUGUACCUACCCUCCGGGGAAGGCUUAUAGCCCGGGGUGAAAUACGGCCAGCCGAGACCGAGGACCGCGCUUCGGCUAGGACGCUGGCGUAAUGGCCGUAGGCGGCCCGUCUUGAAACACGGACCAAGGAGUCUAACAUCUAUGCGAGUGUUUGGGCGUCAAACCCACGCGCGCAAUGAAAGUGAACGGAGGUGGGAACCCUUCUGGGCGCACCAUCGACCGAUCCAGAUGUCUUCGGAUGGAUUUGAGUAUGAGCAUAGCCGUUAGGACCCGAAAGACGGUGAACUACACAUGGAUAGGGUGAAGCCAGAGGAAACUCUGGUGGAGCUCGCAGCGGUUCUGACGUGCAAAUCGAUCGUCAAAUCAGUGUGUAGGGGCGAAAGACUAAUCGAACCGUCUGGUAGCUGGUUUCGGC
rnacentral:rRNA from 1 species